UACGUAGGGGGCAAGCGUUUGUCCGGAAUCAUUGGGCGUAAAGCGCGUGUAGGCGGCUCGAUAAGUCUGUUCUGAAAGUCCAGGGCUCAACCCUGGGAUGCGGAUGGAUACUGUCGAGCUCGAGUCCGGAAGAGGCGAGUGGAAUUCCCGGUGUAGCGGUGAAAUGCGUAGAUAUCGGGAGGAGCACCUGAGGCGAAGGCGGGCUACUGGGCCGAUACUGACGCUGAUGCGCGAAAGCGUGGGGAGCGAACAGG
rnacentral:rRNA from 1 species